rnacentral:rRNA from 1 species
UACGUAGGGUGCAAGCGUUAAUCGGAAUUACUGGGCGUAAAGCGUGCGUAGGCGGUUUUUUAAGUCUGACGUGAAAUCCCCGGGCUUAACCUGGGAAUUGCGUUGGAGACUGCAAGGCUGGAGUCUGGCAGAGGGGGGUGGAAUUCCACGUGUAGCGGUGAAAUGCGUAGAGAUGUGGAGGAAUACCGGUGGCGAAGGCGGCCCCCUGGGAUAACACUGACGCUGAUGCGCGAAAGCGUGGGGAGCAAACAGG